GGAUGUGACAUUCAUUUCACCGGAAGUAGCAUAUUAUCUCCCUUAUAUCACUCAAAAAGAUAAUUAAACCAUUAUUUAUCGCAUCAGUAUGAAGAAACUACCUUCUUAUCCAAAUUUCUGUGGUGUGGAAAGACUUUCAAUUGUUCUCUGAACAAUUGGUUUUUAAUUAUUAUUAUUUUUUUUUUUUUCCGCCAAAUUUUGUUCUUGCGAUAAAUGUUUGUUUCGCAAUAUGUCGCUUAGAUAUUUCUCAUAUUGUAUCGUAUAGUUUAUGCGCUUUUAAAUUUCACCCUGCUAAGACAAACCAUUUUCUUUGUAAGAGUUAUCUCCCUAUUCACUGUUUAUCAUCUGUGUGCAUCUCCUUCGUAACAAAAAAGAUAGCGACAAAAUUCUUUUUACAAAUUGUUCGUUACAUCCUCAGUAAUUUUUGGCGUAUUUGGAUCGAAGCGAUUCGAUGAAAUUUUAUAGGAGUUAUCUACCUUUACGGAAUAAAUUUGUUCGUAUGUUUUUUAACUCAUAAACAGUUAACCGUAUAACCCUGGAAUGUUUUUAUUUGAGUCCCCUAGGUCCUAACUUAGAAAAUGAGGUCAAGGUCAAAGGUCAAGGUCAAGUUCUCAAUUGUGACUUUUGCUUGUUUUUGCAUUUUCUCCGACACUUUGAGAGAUACAUAUAAAAGAACAAGUGCAAAAUGUCUGCUUUAUUGUAAUGAAGAUAUGCUACAUUUAGUCUUAUACAAUUAAAUGGCAUCUUAUAGGAGUUGGUGCCCCUGAAAUGUCUUGAUAUGAGGUUAUUUGAUUAUAACUUCAAUUAAGUUCAUUAUAAAGACAUUUGACCUUAUACAAAAGGUUAAGUGACAAAUGACCUUGAAAAAUGGCUACCGGAAGUGACCUUUAGAAAACCGGAAGUAGCUUUUUUUGCAAUUUUUUCACAUAAAAGUACCCAGAAUCCAUAUAUUUUGUCAUAUAGAUACAUGAAACAGAUUACUGAAGACUAAAAAUGACUUCCAACAAACCGGAAGUGGCCAAUUAUCUCCCAUUCUACAUACAAAAGUAUAUAGAAACUAUAUAUUUUUGGAAUCAGUGUGAAAGAAGCUAUCAUAUGAGACCGAAUGUGACAUUCAUUUCACCGGAAGUAGCAUAUUAUCUCCCUUAUAUCACUCAAAAAGAUAAUUAAACCAUCAUUUAUCGCAUCAGUAUGAAGAAACUACCUUCUUAUCCAAAUUUCUUUGGUGUGGAAAGACUUUCAAUUGUUCUCUGAACAAUUGGUUUUUAAUUAUUAUUA
rnacentral:lncRNA from 1 species